UAUUAAAAAUAAAAAUAGAAGAAACAGUAAAAAUAGAAUAAUCUGAGCUAAAAAGAUUUUAGAUAAAUAAAAUGAAUACCAAAAAUAAACACAAAAAUAGAUAGAUAUUGACAUUUCUUAAAGGGGUCAAUAUGUUGGGAGUCUGCACUAGUUGGCGUAUAGUAAAGUGAUGGUGUGCUAGCUGCGGUAUGUGAACUAUAAAUGGCCCACCGUAGCAUUCAAACGGGCCCAGAAAGUGUUACAACAAUCUCAAACUCCUCCCGUACAAAAAGUAACAUUUCUUUCUCUUUCCAAGAGGAUUUUAAAAGCUCUCCGCCCUGGAUUUCUUUCUACACAUAAGUCUAGAAGUAAGGAAUUCUUUGGAGAGUGUCAGAAACGAGAUGGUGAAUGGAUUGUUUCCACCUUUCUUUGGCGGCUUCACGCGGUGGGGAGGGGCUCCCCUGAUCAACCACCACAAGGAGUAGGGGGGGCUACAUUAGCCAGCCGUUCUCAAGCGUUAGCAAAGUGUUUAUAAAAGCCAGCAAACAGCGGUGGGGUUACAUCGCUAAUGCCUCGACGGGGGACGAACAUUUAGGAGGACGGCUUCCCCAAACGGGAUUAUUAUCACGCGGCGGACAGACGGACGGAGGAACCUGGCGGUAUCAGCAGUUCUACUCAUGCCUUUCCCCAAAAAGCAGCAGCAACAUGGAUAUAUUUCAAGAAACCCAGGUGAGAGACAGUGAGAUUAUUUUUUUUUAACUACUAAAUUUUUAAAUCUUAUAUUAAUUUAAUAUUUUAAGAUGGAUUCUUUUUGCAGUAUUUUGUAUUUACACAGUUGUAUUUUAUCUGAAUGUUUGUUGUGAUU